UGUCACUGCUUCCACGGACAUCACCGGUAGGGAGAGCAAGGCCACCAUCUCGAGAUACCUGGCGGAUCAAGCAGAGAAAAAAAGUGCCUUAACACUAUGUGGCUGGGACCUCUACAACCAUCACACAGUAAAUAGCAGUAAUGGACAGAUGAUCACUAACAAAAGGAUAACCUCAGUAUAGACUGAAAAUAUAAUCAAUUUCUUGAACAGACACCUUGACUGCUAUCACAGGAUCAGAUCUGCAUGACUAAUUACCACGUGCACACAACAGCCACAUGCCUUCCCCACUGGUGAGAGAGAUCACCAGUGUGAGGAACUUUGUUUUAUCUGCCUCUGCUCAAACCCCAGACAGAACAGCAUGGCCACCACACACAGAUGCUACCUGCAUUACGGUAGAAUUCAGUAACUCAGACUUGGGUGAGGAGGAUAUUGGCUGUGGGACUACAUCUCUUGGGGGAAAGAGUCCCCGCCUCCACGAGUAGCUGAUCAGCAGCAUCACUGUUCCACCAAGUCAGCCACAGUCAUACCUGUGGAUUGGACUACACCACCCAGGAGCCUUCAGUACCAAGAAUGAUGUGCACUCUUGACAGCUUGCAGGAGUGAGUUGAUUACAGUGGUAGUCUUAAGCCCAGAUUCUACUGAAAACCUACCUAUUUUUACACUUUUUACAGGCCUCUUGUGGUAUUCAAUCACCUGAAGACAAAACUGAAUUCUUCUCCUUCCCAGUAAUCUCCACUGCCAUCUCCAUUUUCAGGUUGUCACAGUGUUUACAAGGCAUGGUCUGCUUUGCAUUUAAAAAACCUCAGAUCCUGAAGGCGACCAUAGUACCUUCCACAAGGGUGGAAUCUUCUGAUGCUUAAAUGAAUCAUCUUGAUAUUCAAAAGGUACUGCUUUUUUUUUUCCCAAGUUAUAUUCUCAAAAAAAGCACGGCAAUACUCAAUUGUGUUCUUCAGAACAUUUCACCUGCCUGGAUUGGCUCUUGAUAAUCCAAUUCACUAUUGCAUAAUGAAUUUAUUAGUCUGUUAACUACAGUCCUGACAGAGAUAAUAGCCAAUGAUUGCUUAUAAAUCCUUUGCUUCACUGUUUCUUCUAAAGCCUCUGGUUUGUACUAUGUUCUUAAUAAAAUCAGAGUACAGCAACGGUAUGAUGAAAUAAAGAUCACCUGUGCAUUUGUUUUUAGUAGCCUAA